rnacentral:rRNA from 1 species
UACGGGGGGAGCAAGCGUUGUUCGGAUUUACUGGGCGUAAAGGGCGCGUAGGCGGUCAGCACAAGUCAAUUGUGAAAUCUCCGAGCUUAACUCGGAAAGGUCGACUGAAACUGUGCGACUAGAGUGCGGAAGGGGCAACUGGAAUUCUUGGUGUAGCGGUGAAAUGCGUAGAUAUCAAGAGGAACACCUGCGGCGAAGGCGGGUUGCUGGGCCGACACUGACGCUGAAGCGCGAAAGCCAGGGGAGCGAACGGG